AGUGAACGCUGGCGGUAGGCCUAACACAUGCAAGUCGAACGGCAGCACAGUAAGAGCUUGCUCUUACGGGUGGCGAGUGGCGGACGGGUGAGGAAUACAUCGGAAUCUACUUUUUCGUGGGGGAUAACGUAGGGAAACUUACGCUAAUACCGCAUACGACCUACGGGUGAAAGCAGGGGAUCUUCGGACCUUGCGCGAUUGAAUGAGCCGAUGUCGGAUUAGCUAGUUGGCGGGGUAAAGGCCCACCAAGGCGACGAUCCGUAGCUGGUCUGAGAGGAUGAUCAGCCACACUGGAACUGAGACACGGUCCAGACUCCUACGGGAGGCAGCAGUGGGGAAUAUUGGACAAUGGGCGCAAGCCUGAUCCAGCCAUACCGCGUGGGUGAAGAAGGCCUUCGGGUUGUAAAGCCCUUUUGUUUGGAAGGAAAAGCAGCAGGUUAAUACCCCGCUGUUCUGACGGUACCCAAAGAAUAAGCACCGGCUAACUUCGUG
rnacentral:rRNA from 1 species